rnacentral:rRNA from 11 species
AAAGGCCCAAACACCCUUGGAGGCAGCGGGAAUUAUUUCCCGUUGAUAUUGGAUGCUAAGCAAGGUCACCCCGGCUAGUCCUUGGAUGGGAAACCACCAACGAAUUCCAGGGGCUGUGUUUUUU